UUUAUCCUACGGGGGGCAGCAGUGAGGAAUAUUGGUCAAUGGACGAGAGUCUGAACCAGCCAAGUAGCGUGAAGGAUGACUGCCCUAUGGGUUGUAAACUUCUUUUAUAAAGGAAUAAAACGAGGCACGUGUGCCUUUUUGCAUGUACUUUAUGAAUAAGGAUCGGCUAACUCCGUGCCAGCAGCCGCGGUAAUACGGAGGAUCCGAGCGUUAUCCGGAUUUAUUGGGUUUAAAGGGAGCGUAGAUGGGUUGUUAAGUCAGUUGUGAAAGUUUGCUGCUCAACCGUAAACUGGCAAUUGAUACUG
rnacentral:rRNA from 1 species